GUGGGUGUAGCUCAAAGGUAGAGCACCGGACUGUGGCUCCGGACGCUGCGGGUUCGAGUCCCGUCAUCCACCCCA
rnacentral:tRNA from 1 species